rnacentral:lncRNA from 1 species
AGGUGGUUAAAGUGGGUUUGGUGUACAGGCUUAGGCAUGGUUAAGGAGAGGUGGAGACAUGAUUAGUUGUAUCUGAUCUACUUUAUUACUUUUGAUGAAGAGACUUGAUUGAUAUUAACCCUUAGGCCGAAACAGAGAGGCCCAAACUUAACCAUGGGUCCAGUUUCUUUCCCAUUAAAAUGUAGCUGCCAUUCAUCACAAUAAAAAAACAAUUUUUACUAUAAAAAGGGAAAAAUAUAUAUAUUGAUGCUCAAUUUAUGUACAAAAACAAAAUUUGCAAGUAUCGACCUCUUUUUUUGUUUCCUUUUUUUGGUGCAAAUAAGAGUACAGAAUCAUCAGUUCCUCACCACACAGAUGCUAAGCUUUGCCUAAUAUGCCUACUUUUAUCAAGCUAAAAGGUCUUUUCCGUGGCCAUAAUAUGUACCAAACCAAAAGGUUAAAGACCCAAUAUAUUUUAAACAAAGCAAACCAAAAAAAUAUCUAAUUAGGACCAAGCCCCAUAAUUAAAGAAAAACCAACAAGGUCCCCCAAGACAACUUUUGUCAUCUCAUAUUUGGUUUUGAGUAGGUUUUUCUGUAGAAUCAGCAGAUGCAACCUUGGCAGAGUGGCUUUUCUUAGACACCCAGAAGAAACAACCACCAGGGAUCUUCUCUUCAUCGAGAAUCCUAUCAGUCUUUGCCUCUUCCUUCUCCAUUUUCUUCAUUUUCUCUUUAUGCAGAGAUCGCAUCACGUAAGCUUCUGCUAGACCAACUCCUGCAAAGCCAACUCCAGCCAUUGCCUAACUGACAGAAACUUGAACUAGGAAAUCUGGGAUUUGCUAGAUUGCUAUAUAUAGAACAAAGAUUCAGACGAGCUAGAUGAUUGUUAAUCAGACUUGUCUUGGAGGGCAGAAUUAGGACGAAAUGAAUGGGAUUAAUUUUCUGGAACGAAAUUGGAAAAUUUAUAGGCUGCUGUCGCGGGGAGAAAGAGCGAAACUUCCAUGUAGGGUCAUGUCUCAUGUGGGAUAAAGGUUUGAAUUGGCUUGGAGGCCAAGGAAUUGGUAGCCUGAAAUUGUUGAAUUCUUUUCUGUGGUGUCGAUUGCGAGGAAGUGUCGGAUUCUACCUAGAGAGGGACGGUGGCGUCAGCGAAUAUGUGCUAAAACACCUAACAGUUAACGUCAAAAGUUUUGAAGAUGGCGUAUGCGUCAGCAAAGAUGUGGCAUUUUUCUCCCUUUUCCUUGGAGUGUAGACUCGUUCUUCGAACCUCACCUCUUCGUUGGCACUGGGUAGCCCUUUGUCUUUUUCUGAGGGCCGUGCCUCCAUGCCUU